rnacentral:rRNA from 1 species
GAUGAACGCUGGCGGCGUGCCUAAUACAUGCAGGUCGAGCGAACAGACGAGGAGCUUGCUCCUCUGAUGUUAGCGGCGGACGGGUGAGUAACACGUGGAUAACCUACCUAUAAGACUGGGAUAACUUCGGGAAACCGGAGCUAAUACCGGAUAACAUGUUGAACCGCAUGGUUCAACAGUGAAAGACGGUCUUGCUGUCACUUAUAGAUGGAUCCGCGCCGCAUUAGCUAGUUGGUAAGGUAACGGCUUACCAAGGCAACGAUGCGUAGCCGACCUGAGAGGGUGAUCGGCCACACUGGAACUGAGACACGGUCCAGACUCCUACGGGAGGCAGCAGUAGGGAAUCUUCCGCAAUGGGCGAAAGCCUGACGGGGCAACGCCGCGUGAGUGAAGAAGGUCUUCGGAUCGUAAAACUCUGUUAUUAGGGAAGAACAAAUGUGUAAGUAACUAUGCACGUCUUGACGGUACCUAAUCAGAAAGCCACGGCUAACUACGUG